GGACAAGGGGCCUAUCUUCGAGACCAUUACUUACCAAGUUACAAAAUCCAACUCUUUAGCGAGAAAGUCAAGAGCCGAAGCAUGCCAAAGCACUGGCUCUGCUACGACACCGAAGGCUCUCUUUCUCAAGUGUUUAAUGCCACUACCUCAUCUCUCGAGGUUCUUUUGUUCCCGAACAGCUGAUAACCUUCAAGGGCAAACUUCAGAAUGAGAACAAGGAGAACCCAAGUGUUUAUCUUUGUGAAUUGAGAGACUCCUUAAAGAAGAAACGGUUGGGUCAGCAUUUCAAAGCUGGAUGGCUGAUGGGUUUCCUGUUCAUGGAGGUGAUAUUUUUCACGCUAUUAAUCGUUUGAGAAAACUUAAAUUGAACAAACGUGCUCCUUGAGGUGGAUCUAACUCUGGGGAUUUUAUUACUUCUGAUAAGUGAUGGAAUUGGUGAUUAGAGAGAGACCAUACUGGCCUAAAGAGUUAACGCCGACUCUCCUUGGGAAGAUUUGGGAUCUUGAAGCAAAGUUAAAGAGAGGUGGGCAGAGAGCUUUGGGAAGGCAAAGCCACCUUGCUUUGCAUGGGCAUCCGCACUUUCUAAGAUAAGUAACAUGUUUUCAUCGACAUGGGCGGCGUUGACUUAAACAUUGUGGAAUGUUAAAUAAUCAGCUCCACGUGAAAUUAGCUUAAGCUGCCAUGGUUUCUUUGGACACAAAAAGUUCCAAGAAACUUUUUUUAUUGUACGAGUUCUAACAUGCGGUAAUGAUUAAUCAGAUUAAAGAAAAAAAAUAACAAAAAUAAUUUAGAGAUGUUCGUGAGUUGAGUUUAGAUUGAUUUUAAAUUGGAUUUUAUUGUAUCGAAACUUUAGAGAGUUAGAUAUAACUCUUAGAUAAUGACUGUUCAUAGCAUGUUAAUUAUAUAUCAACCGUCUCAUGCAAAAUAAGGCAAUGUAGCUUUGCCCAUUGAACAGGGAGUGUAUUGAAAAGAAUUGGUUGUGAGCACCUAAUCCA